AGGCGGAUAGGCUGACACCAGGAGUGAGCAGAACGAGGGGGGAGAGCGAAUGAGGAGGCAGACAGUCCCAGUUAAAAUACAAAUCUUCCUGGUAAGUUACUACUUUGGACAUUGUCAGCCCGUACCUUUGUGCCCUUUGAUGACAGCCUACUGAGAGGAAGGCUCUAAUGGAACUUAGGCCCCAGGGGCCAGGAAGAAGAAAGACAGACAGACGUGAAAGGGGACAGAUGGAAGUACUUUUGUUUUGAAUAUACCACGUCGUUCUUGCUGCCCAAAAUGAGAUGGUAAGCCCCGCCCACCGAAACUGACCAGUUAACAGCCUUCUAGAUGAUUGACAGCAGAUCUGACCAAUCCUCACAGGGGAGUUACCACUUGGCUCACAGCCUGGCAACAAAAGCAUAAAAUAAAAAUUCAAAAAGAUCUAAUAGCAAUAAACUUCCCAGAGUCUAUGAUACAUCGACAGGUAAGCCAAGGUUGUUCUGUGCUGACUGGCACAGUUCCUAAGCAGACACUACUGAGGAGUUGACUCUGUUGCUGUGGGGUGGGGGCGGGAGUAGUGAAAGUUCUGACUCCACCCCAGGAGGGGGAGGGGCAUCAGGCUCACUAAGUGGUCUCUACUGAGGGGUUUGGGGGAGACAAAUGGGAGUCUCAUUAGAGGCUGCCAAGAGUGGAAGUCUAGCUCCUCUCUAGGCCAUUGCAGGCAAGGGUGAAUUUUUUCCUAUAAUACUUGGCUACCGUAGAUCAAAUAAAAUUAGAAUUCUAUGUUGCUAGGUUGCUCCUUUCUGGUCCUUUGUCUCCAAAGAGAAUUUUGUUGGGGCUUUAUUUGUGCAGUUGGUGUUUCACAUAUACCUUUUCCACUAUUGUGAAUGGGAUAUAGUAUUUCUGGUUUUGUUUCUGUUAUGACUAGAAUAAGAGAAAGCUAUUGGAAUAUAAUAAUAGGAUGAUAACUGCAAAAU